GCUCUUUGUAUUUUCCACCAUUAGUGCAGUUUGAAUGAAUGUGUAGAGUUCAGAGGUCUUCGUGUUCACAUUUUAAAACUAGGUAAAUGACCUCAUCAUUCGAGCUUGAAUUCAUUUUUAAUUUUAAUUUUAUUUUAUACAAUGUGUAGACAGUUCCCUGUUCUUUGCAUUUAGAAGUAUACACAAUAUAAAUCUGUUAAUUCUGUAAGUAAUUUUUAUAAUUAUGAUGUAACUCUAUCCUAUCCUUAAAACAUUUAAAAUAAACCCUUUAUGUGCAAAAAAAAAAAAA
rnacentral:lncRNA from 1 species